rnacentral:rRNA from 1 species
UACGUAGGAGGCGAGCGUUGUCCGGAGUUACUGGGCGUAAAGGGCGCGUAGGCGGCCACGCACGUCCGUUGUGAAAUCGCCCGGCUCAACUGGGCGGGGUCGGCGGAUACGGCGUGGCUGGAGCAAGCUAGGGGGCAAUGGAAUUCCCGGUGUAGUGGUGGAAUGCGUAGAUAUCGGGAGGAACACCAGUGGCGAAGGCGGUUGCCUGGAGCUUUGCUGACGCUGAGGCGCGAAAGCGUGGGGAGCGAUCCGG